UAAUGGAAGGAUCCUGUUGGAUGAUAGGGAAAUCCUUCCGAAUAGAACCGGCAAUAGUUCGGUUGAGGGGGUGAUAGUUUAGGACAAUGGGGAUACGAUUAUUGUUAGAGAGCUUCGGCUUGUACUGGAGGAGGUCUUUGCGGGGUUUAGAGUGGGCUUUCUGUAUCUGAUGCUUGAUUAAUUUGAGAGGGUAGCCAGUAGCUAGUGAGAUAUUUACAGCUCAAAACAGACAGUGUAUAUUUAAAUUGGACCUCAAUGGAAUUGGGCUGGACUGCGGCCAAAUGGGCGUUCCUGAUGUUCAUUACGUGAUGAAGAAGCUACAACUAUCAAGAAAGAAUGUCCGGACUUAAUCGUGAAAAGGCAACAGAUCAUACCAAUUAUUCAUGGAUAGCCAAAAAUUGUGUCACUUCCUGCAAAAGUUCUGGAUAUAAAAUUAAUUAAAAUAUAGAGUAAAUUUGAUUUUAUAAAAUGUUUUCCUCUGCAUAAUCUCAAAAAUAAUCUUAGUAAUAUGUAGUAAUUCUUGUAGGCUUUAUGUUUAUUAAUAUUGUACUAUUACUACUAAUAUUUAUCUUAUUAAUAGAGAAAGUAACCCGUUUGUUGUAAAGAAUAUAGACAUGUAAUAGAAUAGAUAACAUUUUGAGGAUUAAAAUCAGAUUUAGGCCUAUUGAUUUUUGCCGGAUGUACAUACAGUAAUAGGCCUACAGUAUAUAUAUAUAUAAAAUGUAUAUCACAAC